UACGUAGGGUGCGAGCGUUAAUCGGAAUUACUGGGCGUAAAGCGUGCGCAGGCGGUUCGUCGUGUCUGCUGUGAAAGCCCCGGGCUCAACCUGGGAAUGGCAUUGGAAACUGGCGGACUAGAGUGUGGCAGAGGGGGGUGGAAUUCCGCGUGUAGCAGUGAAAUGCGUAGAGAUGCGGAGGAACACCGAUGGCGAAGGCAGCCCCCUGGGCUAACACUGACGCUCAGGCACGAAAGCGUGGGGAGCAAACAGG
rnacentral:rRNA from 1 species